UACGAAGGGGGCUAGCGUUGCUCGGAAUCACUGGGCGUAAAGGGCGCGUAGGCGGCCAUUCAAGUCGGGGGUGAAAGCCUGUGGCUCAACCACAGAAUUGCCUUCGAUACUGUUUGGCUUGAGUUUGGUAGAGGUUGGUGGAACUGCGAGUGUAGAGGUGAAAUUCGUAGAUAUUCGCAAGAACACCAGUGGCGAAGGCGGCCAACUGGACCAAUACUGACGCUGAGGCGCGAAAGCGUGGGGAGCAAACAGGAUUAGAUACCCCGGUAGUCC
rnacentral:rRNA from 1 species